rnacentral:rRNA from 1 species
GCGGUCCUUCGGGGAUAGCGGCGGACGGGUGAGUAACACGUAGGCAACCUGCCUUUGAGACCGGGAUAACUAUCGGAAACGAUAGCUAAGACCGGAUAGCUGGUUUUCUCGCAUGAGAGGAUCAUGAAACACGGAGCAAUCUGUGGCUUGAAGAUGGGCCUGCGGCGCAUUAGCUAGUUGGUAGGGUAACGGCCUACCAAGGCGACGAUGCGUAGCCGACCUGAGAGGGUGAACGGCCACACUGGGACUGAGACACGGCCCAGACUCCUACGGGAGGCAGCAGUAGGGAAUCUUCCGCAAUGGACGCAAGUCUGACGGAGCAACGCCGCGUGAGUGAUGAAGGUUUUCGGAUCGUAAAGCUCUGUUGCCCUAGACGAACAGCAGCAGGAGUAACUGCCUGUUGUGUGACGGUAUAGGAGAAGAAAGCCCCGGCUAACUACGUGCCAGCAGCCGCGGUAAUACGUAGGGGGCAAGCGUUGUCCGGAAUUAUUGGGCGUAAAGCGCGCGCAGGCGGUUCGUUAAGUUGGGUGUUUAAGCCCGGGGCUCAACCCCGGUUCGCAUCCAAAACUGGCGAACUUGAGUGUAGGA